CUGUUUGUCUCUCUCACACACACACACACACACACACACACACACACACACACACACACACACACACACACACACACACACACACACACACACACACACUCACACACACACACACUCUCUCUCUCACACACACACACACACACACACACUCACUCACUCUCACACACACACACACACACAGAAACACACACUCACUCACACACACACACACACACUCACACUCACUCUCUCUCACGCACACACUCUCUCUCUCUCACACACACACACACUAAACCAUUCUAUUGCACUAGUGGUGUAUUCUAAAUGUUAAAAGUUUUUAUAUUUGAUAUGACAUGUAAAGUUAAUAUAUUUUAAAUAUACUAAAAUGUUUCAUUAUUAAAAAUCAGUCUGUGUGUGUGUUUCUGUUUGUGUAUCUGUGUCNCACACACACACACACACACACACACUCACUCUCACACACACACAUGCAUGCACGCAUGCACUCAUACACACACACCCACACUCACACACACACACACACUCACACACAUAUACACACUCACUCACUCACACACACACUCACUCUCUCUCUCACACACACACACUCUCUCUCUCACACACACACUCACACACUAAACCACUGUAUUGCACGUUGUCUAAUUUUCUAGAUGUUUGAUAUGACAUUUAAAGUUAAUAUAUUUUAAAUAUACUAAAAUGUUUCAUCAUUAAAAAUCAGUGUGUGUGUGUGUAUCUCUGUGUAUCUGUGUGUGUGUGUGUGUGUGUAUCUCUGUGUAUCUCUCUCUGUGUGUGUGUGUGUGUGUGUCUCUGUGGGUGUGUGUGUGUGGGUGUGAGUGUGUGUGGGUGUGUGUGUAUGAGUGCAUGCGUGCAUGCAUGUGUGUGUGUGUGUUCAGCUGGUGUUCCUCUGCUGUUCCUCACAGCUCCUCCCGGUACGGUUCAGAUUCCCGUCUCGGCGGUGCAGCUUCAUCCAGUACGGCGAGAUCAACACUUCACAAAUCUGUUUCUGAAGCUGCACGCCUUCAGUUCUCGCAUCACAAGAUCACAUCAUUAAUUCUGGACAGUGAAUGAUCUGUUUUAUUUCCCUCUUUAUUCGUUUUAAACUCGACACAUGGCCACAUUUUAAUGUGUAACACUGAAUAUUUAGAGUUCCUCCUCACUGUAUGUGCUCAGAGAGGCUCUGUAGGUUUGCUUGGUUUGAUGUGUUUUCAGUUAGUUUUAGAGAGAUUGUGUGAGAGUAACACUGGUUCUUCUGUUGGAUCAUUGGGUGAUUUCUGUUGUCCGACAGCAAAUGUACAAACCUUUUUGUAAUAAAAACGGAUCUUGUCAUGCUUGGCCUUUUUCA
ensembl:lncRNA